CUUUUAAUAAGAAAUGUUGUAUGGAGGUAAUUCUAUAUUUCUUUGGGAGAAUUGCCCUUGAGGUGGUGUAAUUCGUUAUUUUUCCGUUUGCUUGUAGCCACCAGAUAAAAUGUGUGUUCGUAGUUCAUUGUAAAUGGGAUUUUUUUAAUGAAAUCCCCCAAGAAUGGAAUUAAAUUACAAUUUAAUUGUACAGAAAUAGGUCCUGCACGUCAUGCGACUUGUAGGCCUACUCUUUAUUAUGGUUGGUUAAUCACAUAGCCUAUGGUGUGUGCCGUGCAAAGCAGGAAAAUAUGGACGUCAUGGUUUGUGCUAAUUUACAUGAUUGAAUUCAGGUAAAAUAUAUAAUCUCCUACAUCUCCUACAAAUUUUGAAACAGCCUUGAACCAAUACUUUUCUGAAAACAUCUGAGAUUGUGUGCCAAUAAUCUUUAACGAUGAAGUCUGAUGGACUGGAACAGAAAGUGUGUGUGUGUGUGUGUGUGUGGAUGAGGUUCUGACAGCCGUCUCUGCAUCUUGAUGCUGGAUCGAGUUUCGAGUGGUCACAGGGUUCCGGACGCAAGCCCUGAAGACACGGCCCCAUCUGAAACCCAGCAGCCAAUUAGCAUAAAUGCAAUGGCUGGCCUGAGGUGAGGCAACCAGGAGAAUAACAGGAGAACGCUGAUAAGUCC
ensembl:lncRNA